ensembl:lncRNA
UUUGGAAGCGCAGCCAGCGGGUGUCAGCCCGAACACCAUCCAGAAUCCUGUGUCUGUUUUGGGUCUUCCAUUUUGGAGCAUCGGGCUGUUUUGAGGAGAUAGUGCAUGUUUGUAUUUUCAACUGUACUUUUUUUUUGUUUUGUUUUGUUUAUCUGCCAUUUGGGGGAUUGGUGGCUGCACUACAGCUGAAAGUCACUGUUGGGAGACAGAAGAGAGUUUUGCAAAUGGAUGCGGAGGAAGUCCCGCAUGAGUUUAUAUACAUUGAUGAGGCUGGAUUUAACCUGACAACAGUGAGAAGAAG